ACAGAGUGCUAAGAUGUUCCAUUCCUUUUUAAGGAGAUUCCACUGGCCCUUUAAGCAAGAAACGACUUCACAGUUGAAACCUUGGUUUGGAAGACUCUUGUUUCAAAUCUCGGCAGCAUCCAAUGAGCCCUCCUCAUCAGCUGAUGGUGGUAAGCACCUAGGACUUGGGCCAGUAGAACGAAGGAAAGAAACACAACCAUUUAGUAAAAAGGUACCAUAAAACAUCGGAUCUGCCGUUUGUGGCUGUGGGUGUUUUGGAAUGUGCACACACACGGGGUUUUCCUCUCCCUGCCACCGCCUCCUUCUCUUCUCACUCUUCACACAGAAGUAGCUGCAUAUCAAGAAUUGGUCUUCCCAAAGCCUAGGCUUUCAGGAGAACUUGGAAGUUUUCAGACAAAAAAGAACGGUGUUUGUAAACCAGAGUCUUUGAAAUCGGUGUGUAUGUUACACCUACAACACAUCCCACACUGGA
rnacentral:lncRNA from 10 species